AGGACGAACGCUGGCGGCGUGCUUAACACAUGCAAGUCGAGCGGGAACCUCGGGAGGGGUAACCCUUCCGAGGGGAGAGCGGCGAACGGGUGAGUAACACGUGGGCAACCUGCCCCGGACACCGGGAUAACCCAGGGAAACCUGAGCUAAUACCGGAUACUCCGGCACGAUCGCAUGAUCGUUCCGGGAAAGCUCCGACGGUCCGGGAUGGGCCCGCGGCCUAUCAGCUUGUUGGUGAGGUAACGGCCCACAAGGCGACGACGGGUAGCUGGUCUGAGAGGACGGCCAGCCACACUGGGACUGAGACACGGCCCAGACUCCUACGGGAGGCAGCAGUGGGAAUCUUGCGCUAAUGCG
rnacentral:rRNA from 1 species